CUCAGCCUUUAUGUUCGGUGUAACUAAUCCUGUCAAGUAUGAAGCUAAGCAGAGUUGGGCUUGAUUAGCACUUGGCUGGGAAACUGCCUGGGAAUGCCAGACUGAGA
rnacentral:rRNA from 1 species